GGGUUGUGAGGUUAAGCGACUAAGCGUACACGGUGGAUGCCCUGGCAGUCAGAGGCGAUGAAGGACGUGCUAAUCUGCGAUAAGCGUCGGUAAGGUGAUAUGAACCGUUAUAACCGGCGAUUUCCGAAUGGGGAAACCCAGUGUGUUUCGACACACUAUCAUUAACUGAAUCCAUAGGUUAAUGAGGCGAACCGGGGGAACUGAAACAUCUAAGUACCCCGAGGAAAAGAAAUCAACCGAGAUUCCCCCAGUAGCGGCGAGCGAACGGGGAGCAGCCCAGAGCCUGAAUCAGUGUGUGUGUUAGUGGAAGCGUCUGGAAAGGCGUGCGAUACAGGGUGACAGCCCCGUACACAAAAAUGCACAUGCUGUGAGCUCGAUGAGUAGGGCGGGACACGUGGUAUCCUGUCUGAAUAUGGGGGGACCAUCCUCCAAGGCUAAAUACUCCUGACUGACCGAUAGUGAACCAGUACCGUGAGGGAAAGGCGAAAAGAACCCCGGCGAGGGGAGUGAAAAAGAACCUGAAACCGUGUACGUACAAGCAGUGGGAGCACGCUUAGGCGUGUGACUGCGUACCUUUUGUAUAAUGGGUCAGCGACUUAUAUUCUGUAGCAAGGUUAACCGAAUAGGGGAGCCGAAGGGAAACCGAGUCUUAACUGGGCGUUAAGUUGCAGGGUAUAGACCCGAAACCCGGUGAUCUAGCCAUGGGCAGGUUGAAGGUUGGGUAACACUAACUGGAGGACCGAACCGACUAAUGUUGAAAAAUUAGCGGAUGACUUGUGGCUGGGGGUGAAAGGCCAAUCAAACCGGGAGAUAGCUGGUUCUCCCCGAAAGCUAUUUAGGUAGCGCCUCGUGAAUUCAUCUCCGGGGGUAGAGCACUGUUUCGGCAAGGGGGUCAUCCCGACUUACCAACCCGAUGCAAACUGCGAAUACCGGAGAAUGUUAUCACGGGAGACACACGGCGGGUGCUAACGUCCGUCGUGAAGAGGGAAACAACCCAGACCGCCAGCUAAGGUCCCAAAGUCAUGGUUAAGUGGGAAACGAUGUGGGAAGGCCCAGACAGCCAGGAUGUUGGCUUAGAAGCAGCCAUCAUUUAAAGAAAGCGUAAUAGCUCACUGGUCGAGUCGGCCUGCGCGGAAGAUGUAACGGGGCUAAACCAUGCACCGAAGCUGCGGCAGCGACACUAUGUGUUGUUGGGUAGGGGAGCGUUCUGUAAGCCUGUGAAGGUGUGCUGUGAGGCAUGCUGGAGGUAUCAGAAGUGCGAAUGCUGACAUAAGUAACGAUAAAGCGGGUGAAAAGCCCGCUCGCCGGAAGACCAAGGGUUCCUGUCCAACGUUAAUCGGGGCAGGGUGAGUCGACCCCUAAGGCGAGGCCGAAAGGCGUAGUCGAUGGGAAACAGGUUAAUAUUCCUGUACUUGGUGUUACUGCGAAGGGGGGACGGAGAAGGCUAUGUUGGCCGGGCGACGGUUGUCCCGGUUUAAGCGUGUAGGCUGGUUUUCCAGGCAAAUCCGGAAAAUCAAGGCUGAGGCGUGAUGACGAGGCACUACGGUGCUGAAGCAACAAAUGCCCUGCUUCCAGGAAAAGCCUCUAAGCAUCAGGUAACAUCAAAUCGUACCCCAAACCGACACAGGUGGUCAGGUAGAGAAUACCAAGGCGCUUGAGAGAACUCGGGUGAAGGAACUAGGCAAAAUGGUGCCGUAACUUCGGGAGAAGGCACGCUGAUAUGUAGGUGAAGCGACUUGCUCGUGGAGCUGAAAUCAGUCGAAGAUACCAGCUGGCUGCAACUGUUUAUUAAAAACACAGCACUGUGCAAACACGAAAGUGGACGUAUACGGUGUGACGCCUGCCCGGUGCCGGAAGGUUAAUUGAUGGGGUUAGCCGCAAGGCGAAGCUCUUGAUCGAAGCCCCGGUAAACGGCGGCCGUAACUAUAACGGUCCUAAGGUAGCGAAAUUCCUUGUCGGGUAAGUUCCGACCUGCACGAAUGGCGUAAUGAUGGCCAGGCUGUCUCCACCCGAGACUCAGUGAAAUUGAACUCGCUGUGAAGAUGCAGUGUACCCGCGGCAAGACGGAAAGACCCCGUGAACCUUUACUAUAGCUUGACACUGAACAUUGAGCCUUGAUGUGUAGGAUAGGUGGGAGGCUUUGAAGUGUGGACGCCAGUCUGCAUGGAGCCGACCUUGAAAUACCACCCUUUAAUGUUUGAUGUUCUAACGUGGACCCGUGAUCCGGGUUGCGGACAGUGUCUGGUGGGUAGUUUGACUGGGGCGGUCUCCUCCUAAAGAGUAACGGAGGAGCACGAAGGUUGGCUAAUCCUGGUCGGACAUCAGGAGGUUAGUGCAAUGGCAUAAGCCAGCUUGACUGCGAGCGUGACGGCGCGAGCAGGUGCGAAAGCAGGUCAUAGUGAUCCGGUGGUUCUGAAUGGAAGGGCCAUCGCUCAACGGAUAAAAGGUACUCCGGGGAUAACAGGCUGAUACCGCCCAAGAGUUCAUAUCGACGGCGGUGUUUGGCACCUCGAUGUCGGCUCAUCACAUCCUGGGGCUGAAGUAGGUCCCAAGGGUAUGGCUGUUCGCCAUUUAAAGUGGUACGCGAGCUGGGUUUAGAACGUCGUGAGACAGUUCGGUCCCUAUCUGCCGUGGGCGCUGGAGAACUGAGGGGGGCUGCUCCUAGUACGAGAGGACCGGAGUGGACGCAUCACUGGUGUUCGGGUUGUCAUGCCAAUGGCACUGCCCGGUAGCUAAAUGCGGAAGAGAUAAGUGCUGAAAGCAUCUAAGCACGAAACUUGCCCCGAGAUGAGUUCUCCCUGACCCUUUAAGGGUCCUGAAGGAACGUUGAAGACGACGACGUUGAUAGGCCGGGUGUGUAAGCGCAGCGAUGCGUUGAGCUAACCGGUACUAAUGAACCGUGAGGCUUAACCUUACAACGCCGAAGGUGUUU
rnacentral:rRNA from 1 species